UUGAUCUCUCUCACCCUCCCUCCCUCCUUCCCUCCUUCCAUCUAGCUGUACUAGAGGAUCUAACUCUACUUCUUUCCUGAGGACACAGCUGGAAAUUUCUGCACCUGCAUUUUCCCAGAAACCCUGUCGGACUGG